rnacentral:misc_RNA from 1 species
GCCGCCCUCCUCGCAAAGAGCAAUCGUAUCCUCGGUUAAGAGAAAAAGCCAAAGGGCGGGAGCACGCGGCCUCAUCAUUUAUCGAUCAAUUUCUAGGGUUUCGUUUCUCUCUCUCAUCAUUCCCUUAAUCAAAAUCUCACGUUUAUCUUGGUAUCUGGUGAGUGCUUUUCUUUUGUUGUUGUUAAUUUAUUUUUGUUUUUCUGAUUUUGUUAUAUAUAUAGAUGUGUGUGUGUGAUCUCCAAGAACUAAUUAUAUUUCAACGUCUUUUUGAUAUUUCUUGGUUUUUUUGCGCGAUUAUUGUUAAUAUUGGCUUUUAUUCUGGAAUCGUGUAUAAAAUUUUUAAUUUUGAUUAGGAAUUAUAAGAGCUACAAUAUCGUUUUUAUUAUUGGAUUUGUUUUUGCUUAGUUAUUCUGGACUUGGAUUCCGAUUCAUAUGCGUAAAAAGCGUUUUCUCUGUGAUCCAAUGUCAUAUUCUUUUACGAGAUAUUAUACUUAUUUUGUUUUUGCAUCUGGUUGAGUAUGGCUCCGUGAAUCGUGGUGCUUCUAAAUCUAUCUUGUAAAGAUUAUUAUUAUUUUAUGUUUGCUUGAAUAUUUGCUAUGUAGUUAUGUCCAGGAAAUAGUUUAUGUUAUUUUCAUGGAAGUUUUCAAUUUUUAUUUCUUCCACAUUUAAUUUUUUCAAUUCUGAUGAUGUUUCCUUUUCACUGAUUUUUUUGUUUACAGGACUGGAUGAUCUAAUGGAGUCAAAAGGUGGGAAGAAAAAGUCUAGUAGUAGUAGUAAAUCAUUAUUCUAUGAAGCUCCCCUUGGUUACAGCAUUGAAGACAUUCGACCAAACGGUGGCAUCAAGAAGUUCCGAUCUGCUGCGUACUCCAACUGCGCUCGCAAACCAUCCUGAUAUCCUCAACUAGGCUGCCUGACCGCAUAAAGUAGUUUAAUAAAUUUAAUUGCUUUAGUUAGUUUUUAGCUGCUUCUGCAACCGAUCUCUUCCUCUCUCCCUCUGCGACUGUGAUUUCCUUACAACUGUGACAUCUUCAACUGUUAUCUUUGUAACGCAUUUUCCUUGCAACUGUCACUGCAUUGGACUGUGGUCUAUUUUGCAUCUUGAAAACACUCUUCACUGUAAUAAUUUCUGAUGGUCAAUAUGGCCAUGGCUGUCUCUGCAAUUGGAUUUGAAGGUUAUGAGAAGAGGCUGGAAAUAUCGUUUUUUGAGCUUGGCAUUUUUGUUGAUCCUGAAGGAAAAGGCUUUCGAUCUCUGUCCAAGUCUCAGUUGGAUGAGAUUCUUGGACCAGCCGAGUGCACUAUUGUUGAUUCACUGUCCAAUGAUCAUGUCGACUCUUACGUACUUUCUGAGUCUAGCCUCUUUGUAUAUCCUUACAAGAUCAUCAUCAAAACCUGUGGGACUACCAAACUGCUCCUUGCAAUCCCACCGAUCUUGAAGCUGGCUGAUACCCUUUCUCUUAAGGUAAAAUCUGUGAGGUAUACUCGUGGGAGCUUCAAUUUCCCUGGAGCUCAGUCAUAUCCUCAUCGCAGUUUCUCUGAAGAAGUUUCUGUCUUGGAUAGUUAUUUUGGGAAGCUAGGUACUGGCAGCAAGGCUUAUAUAAUGGGUGGGAUUGACAGCCCACAGAAAUGGCAUAUGUACUCUGCAUCUGCUGCUGAUUCUACAAUCUCUUGUGACCAUGUUUACACUAUAGAGAUGUGCAUGACUGGUUUGGACCGAGAAAAGGCUUCUGUUUUUUACAAAACCCAGUCGGCUUCUGCAUCUACUAUGACUAUUGAUUCUGGAAUAAGAAAGAUUCUUCCAGACUCGAAGAUAUGUGAUUUUGAUUUUGAUCCAUGUGGUUAUUCAAUGAAUGCUAUUGAAGGAGCGGCUAUUUCUACAAUCCAUGUUACUCCAGAAGAUGGUUUCAGCUAUGCGAGCUUUGAAACAGUAGGAUAUGAUCCAAAAGGUGUGAGUCUGAACCAGGUGAUUGACAGGGUGUUGGUUUGUUUCCAGCCGAGUCAGUUCUCUAUUGCUGUACAUGCCAGUGUUGCAGGUGAACAACUAGCGGAGACUUGUUCACUAGAUGUUAAGGGAUACAGUCGUGGAGAGAGGAGCCUUGAAGAGCUUGGAAUGGGUGGUUCCGUUCUUUACCAGAAAUUUGUUCGAAGUGAGGACUCUGGUUCUCCUAGGUCAACUCUGAAAUGCUGCUGGGAAGAGGAAGAAGAGGAUUAGUUCCAAUUUAUAUUUUCUUUAUGGUUUGUAUCUGUGUUUAAAUAAAAUAAUUGCUUUCAGGCUAUGCCUGAUGACAGCAAUCUUAGUAGUCUUUUCUAUUGUCUUUGAUUUUAUUUGCAUUACCAGAUGUGGCUCUCGACUUCUGAGAUGUGAGAGCUGCAGUAUUCUAAAUGUUUGGCCAUGUAUCCAGACUUGUUUAGUGGAUUUAUUCUAAAUAUGUGUUUUUGGUUUUUGAUUAAAA